AUGAAAAUUCUAAUGCAAUGUAGGAGUGCAAAGAGGAUCGCUUCCAACGGAUUGUCAUACCCUCAUGGAUCACAGCUACGAGUUCUUAUCAAGGUGUUAGCAGAAACAAACUUGACGCCCUUCACAUUCUGGUUGUUUGGGAGAUUUGGAGGGCACGAAACGAUACGAGGGUCUUCGACAGCAUGGUCUUUAUGUAGGAAUCAAAGGAGCUCGACCUUUUGUAGCGCGUGCAUGCUUCAUUUCAUGAGCAAAAGAAUUUUGUGCCCUAGGGCAUGCACGUCAUCCAUGAACGCGAUGUGA
rnacentral:rRNA from 1 species